rnacentral:rRNA from 1 species
UACGGGGGGGGCAAGCGUUGUUCGGAAUUACUGGGCGUAAAGGGCUCGUAGGCGGCCAACUAAGUCGGAUGUGAAAUCCCCAGGCUUAACCUGGGAACUGCAUCCGAUACUGGAUGGCUUGAAUCCGGGAGAGGGAUGCGGAAUUCCAGGUGUAGCGGUGAAAUGCGUAGAUAUCUGGAGGAACACCGGUGGCGAAGGCGGUCGUGCUGGGC